rnacentral:rRNA from 1 species
ACAUGCAAGUCGAACGAUGAAGCCCUUCGGGGUGGAUUAGUGGCGAACGGGUGAGUAACACGUGGGCAAUCUGCCCUUCACUCUGGGACAAGCCCUGGAAACGGGGUCUAAUACCGGAUAAUACUUUCCCUCUCAUGGGGGAAGGUUAAAAGCUCCGGCGGUGAAGGAUGAGCCCGCGGCCUAUCAGCUAGUUGGUGGGGUAAUGGCCUACCAAGGCGACGACGGGUAGCCGGCCUGAGAGGGCGACCGGCCACACUGGGACUGAGACACGGCCCAGACUCCUACGGGAGGCAGCAGUGGGGAAUAUUGCACAAUGGGCGAAAGCCUGAUGCAGCGACGCCGCGUGAGGGAUGACGGCCUUCGGGUUGUAAACCUCUUUCAGCAGGGAAGAAGCGAAAGUGACGGUACCUGCAGAAGAAGCGCCGGCUAACUACGUGCCAGCAGCCGCGGUAAUACGUAGGGCGCAAGCGUUGUCCGGAAUUAUUGGGCGUAAAGAGCUCGUAGGCGGCUUGUUGCGUCGGUUGUGAAAGCCCGGGGCUUAACCCCGGGUCUGCAGUCGAUACGGGCAGGCUAGAGUGUGGUAGGGGAGAUCGGAAUUCCUGGUGUAGCGGUGAAAUGCGCAGAUAUCAGGAGGAACACCGGUGGCGAAGGCGGAUCUCUGGGCCAUUACUGACGCUGAGGAGCGAAAGCGUGGGGAGCGAACAGGAUUAGAUACCCUGGUAGUCCACGCCGUAAACGUUGGGAACUAGGUGUUGGCGACAUUCCACGUCGUCGGUGCCGCAGCUAACGCAUUAAGUUCCCCGCCUGGGGAGUACGGCCGCAAGGCUAAA